GAUGAACGCUAGCUACAGGCUUAACACAUGCAAGUCGAGGGACCGGCGCACGGGUGCGUAACACGUAUCCAACCUGCCCUUUACUCGGGGAUAGCCUUUCGAAAGAAAGAUUAAUACCCUAUAUAAUGGAUGGGGAUGCGUUCCAUUAGGUUGUUGGUGAGGUAAAGGCUCACCAAGCCUUCGAUGGGUAGGGGUUCUGAGAGGAAGGGCCCCCGGAUUGGAGCGGGGACGCGGUCCACAGUGCUACGGGAGGCAGGAGAGGGGGAUAUGGGGGAAGGAGCGGUAGCCUGAACCAGCCGAGAAGCGUGAAGGAUGAAGGCUUAUGGGGCGUAGAGGUCGUUUAUGUAAGAAUAGGUAUUAUAUGAAGAAGGAUCGGCUAGCUCCGUGCCAGCAGCCGCGGUAAUAC
rnacentral:rRNA from 1 species